rnacentral:tRNA from 1 species
UCCCCGGUAGCUCAGUGGUAGAGCAGUUGACUGUUAAUCAAUUGGCCGCUGGUUCGAAUCCGGCCCGGGGAGCCA